rnacentral:lncRNA from 1 species
GCAUCAUUUGGUUUAAACCACGAAAGCAAACUUUGAUUCUUAAUACUCUAAUAAAAGUGUUUUGAUUUAUAAUACUCGGUAUGAAAAACGAAUACAACUUAUUCAUUUAAUAGUUUCUGUUUGCCUGUAAUACUUAUUCUACCUCUUUUCCGUGCACCCCAAGUUGGUAUCCAUGAAGACCUUUUCAACAGGUCAACACCUGACAC